UGGUCAAGUUAUUAAGGGUGCAGGGCGGAUGCCUUGGCACUAGGAGCCGAUGAAGGACGUGAUAAGCUGCGAUAAGCUUCGGGGAGUUGCACGUAAACUUUGAUCCGAAGAUUUCCGAAUGAGGAAACUCACUUAGAGUAAUGUCUAAGUAUCAUUAAGUGAAUACAUAGCUUAAUGAGGGGAACUCAGGGAACUGAAACAUCUAAGUACCUGAAGGAAGAGAAAGAAAUUCGAUUCCGUAAGUAGCGGCGAGCGAACGCGGAUUAGCCCAAACCAAUAAAGUUUUCUUUAUUGGGGUUGCGGACAUAUCAUAACGAAGAGGUAUCGUAAUUGAAGAGGUUUGGAAAGACCCACCACAGAAGGUAAUAGUCCUGUAUGUUAAACGAGAAGACUUCAGAUAUGAUCCAGAGUACCACGGGACACGUGAAACCCUGUGGGAAGCAGGAGGGACCACCCUCCAAGGCUAAAUACUACCUAGUGACCGAUAGCGUAUAGUACCGUGAGGGAAAGGUGAAAAGAACCCCGGGAGGGGAGUGAAAUAGAACCUGAAACCCUGCACUUACAAGCUGUGGAAGCACAUUUCUUGUGUGACCGCGUACUUUUUGUAGAACGGGCCAACGAGUUACGUUAAGUAGCAAGGUUAAGCACUUAAGGUGCGGAGCCGUAGCGAAAGCGAGUUUUAACUGAGCGUUCAGUUACUUGACGUAGACCCGAAACCGGGCGACCUACCCAUGAGCAGGAUGAAGCGAAAGUAAAAUUUCGUGGAGGUCCGAACCCACGAGCGUUGAAAAGCUCGGGGAUGACUUGUGGGUAGCGGUGAAAUUCCAAUCGAGCCCGGAGAUAGCUGGUUCUCCCCGAAAUAGCUUUAGGGCUAGCCUCAAGGUGAGAGAUACGGAGGUAGAGCACUGAAUGUCCUAGGGGGUAUUGCACCUACCGAAGACUAUCAAACUCCGAAUGCCGUCAUCUUAUACUUGGGAGUCAGACUGUGGGUGAUAAGAUUCAUAGUCGAAAGGGCAACAGCCCAGAUCGUCAGCUAAGGUCCCUAAAUGUAAGUUAAGUGGUAAAGGAUGUGGGAUUGCACAGACAACCAGGAUGUUGGCUUAGAAGCAGCCACUCAUUCAAAGAGUGCGUAAUAGCUCACUGGUCGAGUGAUCCUGCGCCGAAGAUUUCCGGGGCUAAAACUUACUACCGAAGCUACGGCAUCAGUAAUGAUGGGUAGGGGAGCUUCCCAUACGGGUUGAAGCAUGACCGUAAGGACAUGUGGACAGUAUGGGAGUGAGAAUGUUGGCAUGAGUAGCGAGAUGUGGGUGAGAAUCCCACAGGCCGUAAACCCAAGGUUUCCAGGGGAAGGUUCGUCCGCCCUGGGUUAGUCGGGACCUAAGCUGAGGCCGAAAGGCGUAGGUGAUGGACAACAGGUUGAUAUUCCUGUACUACCGAUAACCGUUUGAGAGAAGGGAUGACACAGUAGGAUAAGCUAAGCACACUGUUGGUUAUGUGUGCCCAAGCAUUGAGGCAGUCAAAGUAGGCAAAUCCGCUUUGAUAAUGCUGGGAUGUGAUGGGGAGCGAAAUUUAGUAGCGAAGUAGCUGAUUUCACACUGUCAAGAAAAGUCUCUAUCGAGGUUAAAGGUACCCGUACCGCAAACCGACACAGGUGGGUGAGGAGAGUAUCCUAAGGCCAGCGAGAGAACUGUUGUUAAGGAACUCGGCAAAAUGACCCCGUAACUUAGGGAUAAGGGGUGCCACCAUCAGGUGGCCGCAGAGAAUAGGCCCAAGCGACUGUUUACCAAAAACAUAGGUUUCUGCUAAGUCGCAAGACGAUGUAUAGGAGCUGACGCCUGCCCGGUGCUGGAAGGUUAAGGGGAUCUGUUAGAGCAAUCGAAGCAGUGAACUUAAGCCCCAGUAAACGGCGGCCGUAACUAUAACGGUCCUAAGGUAGCGAAAUUCCUUGUCGGGUAAGUUCCGACCCGCACGAAAGGCGUAACGAUUUGGGCACUGUCUCAACAACAGACUCGGUGAAAUUGUAAUUCCGGUGAAGAUGCCGGAUACCUGCGACAGGACGGAAAGACCCCAUGGAGCUUUACUGUAGCUUGACAUUGGGUCUUGGUACUACAUGUACAGGAUAGGUGGGAGGCUUUGAAACCAGGACGCCAGUUUUGGCGGAGCCAUCCUUGGGAUACCACCCUUGUAGUACUGGGACUCUAACCAUAGGCCAUGAAUCUGGUCUUGGGACACUGUCAGGUGGGCAGUUUGACUGGGGCGGUCGCCUCCCAAAAGGUAACGGAGGCGCUCAAAGGUUCUCUCAGUACGGUCGGAAAUCGUACGUAGAGUGUAAAGGCAAAAGAGAGCUUGAUUGCAAGACAUACAGGUCGAGCAAGGAUGAAAAUCGGACUUAGUGAUCCGGUGGUUCUGCGUGGAAGGGCCAUCGCUCAACGGAUAAAAGCUACCCUGGGGAUAACAGGCUUAUCUCCCCAAGAGUCCACAUCGACGGGGAGGUUUGGCACCUCGAUGUCGGCUCAUCACAUCCUGGGGCUGUAGUAGGUCCCAAGGGUUGGGCUGUUCGCCCAUUAAAGUGGUACGCGAGCUGGGUUCAGAACGUCGUGAGACAGUUCGGUCCCUAUCCGUCGCAGGCGUAGGAAAUUUGAGAAGACCUGUCCUUAGUACGAGAGGACCGGGAUGGACGUAUCUCUGGUGUACCAGUUGUCCUGCCAAGGGCAUGGCUGGGUAGCUAUGUACGGAAUGGAUAAGCGCUGAAAGCAUCUAAGCGCGAAGCCAACUUCAAGAUAAGAUUUCCCACCGCAAGGGUAAGACCCCAGAAAGACUAUCUGGUUGAUAGGUCGAAGGUGUAAGUGCAGCAAUGUAUUUAGCUUAUCGAUACUAAUAGGUCGAGGACUUGACCAAU
rnacentral:rRNA from 1 species